rnacentral:lncRNA from 1 species
GAUUGAAAUCAGACGCUGAUGUACUAUAUCAGAGCACAUUGCAUGGUUCAGAAAAAGUUACAUUCAACCACUUAUGAGAGAUGAAAUGGAGUAAAUAUGAGUGUUGCUACAUAAAAAAAUAAAUAAAUAAAUGACAGUAAGAUUUUGCUAUAG